CAAGGCUAAAUACUCCUGACUGACCGAUAGUGAACCAGUACCGUGAGGGAAAGGCGAAAAGAACCCCGGCGAGGGGAGUGAAAAAGAACCUGAAACCGUGUACGUACAAGCAGUGGGAGCACCCUUUGGGGUGUGACUGCGUACCUUUUGUAUAAUGGGUCAGCGACUUAUAUUCUGUAGCAAGGUUAACCGUAUAGGGGAGCCGGAGGGAAACCGAGUCUUAAUUGGGCGUUAAGUUGCAGGGUAUAGACCCGAAACCCGGUGAUCUAGCCAUGGGCAGGUUGAAGGUUGGGUAACACUAACUGGAGGACCGAACCGAC
rnacentral:rRNA from 1 species